UUAACUCGGGAACACACCCUAAAUAUCAGAGCUUCUUCUUCACGCUUCUUCUUGCCUGAUUCCAAACCCUAAGCAAUCCUUUCCUCCAUCAGUUCUUCCUUCAUCGAUUCAUCAAUAUUAAUCAUAGGUAUGUUCUUAUUCUACUUCUACAUGUAUGCUCUGCAGACUAUCAAGGGUUUUGAGGUUACAUGAUUAACAGAAGUGAAGAUGGAGUCUCAGGGGUUCUUCUACGUCACAGGUUGUUUCUGCGUUAAUGUUUGGUGAUUUUAUGUAUAUGUAGGAGUUUCACACCGUUUGUUGGGGAUAAUUAGCCUUAUGGUUGAGUUUACUAUGAAGGAUUUAAGAUUCCAUGGAACCUGCAUUAAAGUUACACUUUAUUCGACUUUUGAGCUGUUUGGUCCAUUCAACCAGUUUGAUUGGUUUACUCUUACCCAAAUUCAAAAUCAAGAUAGAACAUAACCCAAACUGACCCACUUGUACAUAACAAUGGCAACCAGACUGGAAUCAAAACUUCGUUGUGCAUCAAUUCAUAUUCUAUCUAAUACCAUGGAAGCUGCAAGAAAACCAUUUGUUGCUGCUAUUGUCGGGGUUGCUUUAGGUGGCGGAUUAGAGGCUGGUUACAUCAUCUGCGAUAGAUGGUUAGUAAAAAUGACCGUGCUGACCUCGCUGCUCAAGAAACAGGAUUGUGAAUGGUAACGACAUCAGUGACAAAAUUACUAGGUUGCUGCCUUGGAUGCUGCUGAUUAAGGGCCAUCAUGACGGUUCUAAUCAAGCUACUGGUGGAGUGGUGAAGUCUGAUAAUCAAGACAUCAAAGCUGAUGCUAGUAAUUUGAUGUUGCUGGAUCUUGGGCCCGUUUACCGAGCUGUACUGCCAGGUGAUAUCUACGCGGCAGUGAAGGUGUUGGAGAGUGCUAGAGGGAUGAGUUCUCCAUCCUUGUUAAAUUGAAAAACCUGAUAUUGGACUUGCUGAUGAUGUUAGAGUCACUGUGGCUGCGCCUGCAGCACGUGGGGAACCUAACAAUGAACUUUUAGAAUUUAUGGGCAAGGUUUUAGGGUUAAAACUAAGUCAGAUGACCCUCCAAAGAGGAUGGAAUAGCAAGUCUAAGCUCCUCGUGGUGGAAGAUUUGACAGCCAGAGAGUUAUUCAAGUUAGCCAGUAAAUGUGCUGUGGUACUAUGUUGUCGAGUGGCUCCACUGCAAAAAGCCGGAAUCGUCAUGCUGAUAAAGAAAAGAACCAAUGACUUAACCCUUGCAAUUGGCGACGGUGCUAAUGAUGUGUCAAUGAUCCAAAAGGCUGAUGUGGGAAUCGGCAUCAGUGGCCAAGAGGGCCGCCAAGCUGUCAUGGGGUCUGAUUUUGCGAUGGCCCAGUUCCGGUUUUUGGUCCGCUUUUGUUGGUUCAUGGUCAUUGGAAUUACCAACGAAUGGGCUACAUGAUACUCUACAAUUUUUACAGAAAUGCAGUGUUCGUCCUUGUUUUAUUCUGGUAUGCAUUAUAUAUUGCUUUCACGUUAUCAACGGCUAUUAAUGAAUGGAACAGUGUAUUAUAUUCUGUAAUCUACACAUCAGUACCCACAAUCGUUGUUGGAAUUCUCGAUAAAGAUCUUUCUAGAACAUCUCUGUUAAAGUAUCCUCAGCUUUACGGAUCUGGACAGAAACAAGAAAGCUACAAUGGGAAAUUGUUUUGGCUCACUAUAGCAGACACUGUGUGGCAAAGUGUUGUGGCUUUCUUUGUUCCCUUACUCGCGUACAGGAAAACCGACGUUGAUGGUUCAAGCAUUGGUGAUCUCUUUCUCUCUCUAAAAAUUCAGUUCAAUCCAGAACUUUGAUUCCAUGUAGAAUUCGUUAUUCUCCAACUUUUCAAGCACUGUUCAAUCUGAAGGAAAUGCAGGAAAUGCAAAACUCUACGAUUCCGGAUGACAGCAGGAAAGCUGGCUCAUUGAACACCGAGAAAUCUGAAUUUGAAUCGACCCACUAAGAUCUUUGAAACUGAGUCGCUUUGUUUCGAAACAGUAGUUUGAAUCUACCCACUAAGAUCAAUUGAAAUCUCAGGUUUGUUUCGAAACAGUAGUUUGAAACUGAGUCGCUUUGUGUAAGUGAACUCAAAUCGGAAUAUUCAUGAAUAUCUAUUUGUCGGAUCUGGGUUCGUUCAACAGGUUUGUUUGUUAGUGAAAUUCUGUAGUUAUUGCUUGCUUAAAACAGUGUUUUAAAAAUGUAAAUCAUAAUCUUAAUUUUAAUUGUAUUUUACAUAGAACCUAUAGUUUUUCAAACAGUGUUUUAAUCCGAGGAAAAGUCAAACCACUGUUUUGGGUUAAAACAAUGUUUUGAAACCACUUUUCGGUUAAAACAAUGUUUGAAACCACUGUUGGGUUAAAACAGUGUUGUUAAAACAGUGUUUCGAAACCACUUUUGGCUUAACAGUGUUUGAAACCACUGUUUUAACCCAAAAGUGGUUUCAAAGCACUGUUUUAACCCAACAGUGGUUUCAAACACUGUUAACCCAAAAGUGGUUUCAAAACACUGUUUUAACCCAACAGUGGUUUCAAACACUGUUUUAACCCAAAAGUGUUUUAACAACAGUUGUUUGACUUUCGUCAAACCGUUCUUUGAAGCAUUUUUUUUGGAUAAUUUUAGAAUUCUUAAUUCAUGUCUGAAGUUGUCUUUAAAAUUUGUAGGUGGAUGAUAUGGAAGAAGUAAGAGAGUACUAUCAAAGUAGAGAGUGAUAUCGACCGUCAUGAAUCAUUCUCCUGACGCUUGGGAUAAUAUGCUUUUGAAAGAUAUUAUUGUUAAAGUGGCAAAUGUUGAGCUUUAUUAUAAAGUUGUUCAUUUCUACUUGCAAGAGCAUCCGGAUCUUAUCAAUGAUGUUCUCAAUGUUCUUGCUCUAUGUGUUGACCAUACACGUGUGGUCGAUAUUAUGCGAAAGGCGGGCCAGCUUCCUCUUGCGAAACCAUAUAUAGUUGCAGUUCAGAGCAACAAUGUAUUUGCUGUAAAUGAGGCAUUGAAUGAAAUAUAUGUUGAGGAUGAAGACUAUGAUAGAUUGCAUGAAUCUAUUGAUGUGCAUGCCAACUUUGACCAGAUUGGUCUUGCACAAAAGAUCGAGAAACACGAGCUCCUUGAAAUGAGGCGUGUGGCGACAUAUAUUUACAAGAGAGUUGAUAGAUGGAAGCAGUCUAUUGCAUUGUCCAAGAAAGGCAGGGUGUAAAUAUAUUUUGUUUACUCAAUAUAUUUAACGAAGAAAGUCAGUAGUGUUUCCAGUAUGCAUAUUUGUUUCACGUCCUAAAAAUUUGUUAGUACGUAAUACUUUUUGUAUGAUAUUAAUUAUGUAUUAACCAAAAAUAGUUUUUAAUUAA